rnacentral:rRNA from 1 species
GACGAACGCUGGCGGCGUGCCUAACACAUGCAAGUCAACUUGACUGAAGGAGCAAUCUGACAGUAGAGUGGCGCAAGGGUGCGUAACGCGUAAGUAACUUGCCCAAGGUAAGGAAUAACGUCGAGAAAUCGGCGCUAAUACCUCAUAAUGCAGCGGAUCCGCAUGGAUAUGUUGUUAAAGGUUUACCGCCUUGGGAUAGGCUUGCGUCUGAUUAGUUAGUUGGUGUGGUAACGGCACACCAAGGCUACGAUCAGUAACUGGUCUGAGAGGAUGAUCAGUCACACUGGAACUGAGACACGGUCCAGACUCCUACGGGAGGCAGCAGUGAGGAAUAUUGGGCAAUGCUCGAAAGAGUGACCCAGCAACGCCGCGUGGAGGAUGAAGGUAUUCUAUAUCGUAAACUCCUGUGAGAGCAGACGAAAGACAGAUUAUUAAUCUGGAUGACUGUAUGCUCAGAGGAAGCCCCGGCU